rnacentral:rRNA from 1 species
AGUGAACGCUGGCGGUAGGCCUAACACAUGCAAGUCGAACGGCAGCACAGUAAGAGCUUGCUCUUACGGGUGGCGAGUGGCGGACGGGUGAGGAAUACAUCGGAAUCUACUUUUUCGUGGGGGAUAACGUAGGGAAACUUACGCUAAUACCGCAUACGACCUACGGGUGAAAGCAGGGGAUCUUCGGACCUUGCGCGAUUGAAUGAGCCGAUGUCGGAUUAGCUAGUUGGCGGGGUAAAGGCCCACCAAGGCGACGAUCCGUAGCUGGUCUGAGAGGAUGAUCAGCCACACUGGAAGUGAGACACGGUCCAGACUCCUACGGGAGGCAGCAGUGGGGAAUAUUGGACAAUGGGCGAAAGCCUGAUCCAGCCAUACCGCGUGGGUGAAGAAGGCCUUCGGGUUGGAAAGCCCUUUUGUUGGGAAAGAAAAGCAGCAGGUUAAUACGCCGCUGUUCUGACGGUACCCAAAGAAUAAGCACCGGCUAACUUCGUG